AACCAUAGAAACCUGCGGAGUACCUGCGGAGGGAUCAUUACCGAGUUUACAACUCCCAAACCCCUGUGAACAUACCUAUACGUUGCCUCGGCGGAUCAGCCCGCGCCCCGUAAAAAGGGACGGCCCGCCCGAGGACCCCUAAACUCUGUUUUUAGUGGAACUUCUGAGUAAAACAAACAAAUAAAUCAAAACUUUCAACAACGGAUCU
rnacentral:misc_RNA from 1 species